CGUUUCCUACGGGUGCCUUCUAAGAAAAAGCGAACCCUCGACAAGUGGGACGGAUGCGCGGGCUGCGUGCCCAGGCGACGGGCCGGUAGCAAACCCUGCCAAGAGUGCUUGACCAUCAGUGCCGCCGUCGAAACCUCCAGGGCGCAACCAGCCUCAACGACGACUAGUAGCAGCCAGAGUAGCGUGGGAUCUCCACCGUGUUCACCGCCGAUCGAGCUGAAGCAUAGACCACCACCACCAGCGCCAUUGUCAUCAAUCCCGCCAAUAUGGUCCCAAGAAACGCUCUUUUAGGAUGCGUUUUUCGUAGUGAGCAUGUCCUUCGACCUGUUUUUACCGAGACACGGAGCUAAAUCCAGAAUGUCGAUAUCCGAGGAAAUCAUUUGCCCAAAAACGUGAACCUCAGUCUUCAUCCAAUUCUUUAACCGCCCUAUCAUACCGCCAGUAAUCUCUCUCUCUUUGGUUCUUUUAUCGUUAUUAAAUAUAUUUUAAGCGUGAAAUCCACCGUAGAAGAUUAAAAUCGUUUAAUCAGCCAAUUUCAAUUAUAAUGUAGCGAUCGUCGAUAUUAAAUUAUUACAAAAAUUUCUGAUGCAGCAAAAUUAAAAACAAGCAUUAUACUAUUGGAAAUGUAAAAAAAAAUAGCAAUGAAGAAGAGAAGCAAGAAAGUUAACCGAUGAAGGGAGGAACGGAGGAGAGGAACAUAAGAUAGACGAGACGGAAGAACGACGGGAAGCAUUUUUGCUCGCGGAGAAAUAUCGGAGAUUUUCGAUAUUACGGCGGCGAGAA